UACGUAGGGGGCAAGGCGUUGUCCGGGAUUUAUUGGGCGUAAAGAGCGUGUAGGCGGCCAGACAGGUCCGUUGUGAAAACUCGAGGCUCAACCUCGAGACGCCGAUGGAAACCGUCUGGCUAGAGUCCGGAAGAGGAGAGUGGAAUUCCUGGUGUAGCGGUGAAAUGCGUAGAUACUGGGAGGAACACCAGUGGCGAAGGCGCUACCUGGACCGGUUCUGACGCUGAGGCGCGAAAGCGUGGGUAGCAAACAGG
rnacentral:rRNA from 1 species